rnacentral:lncRNA from 1 species
AGCAGUGGGGAGCAGUGUGUUCUCAGCAGUCUUUACAGAAGGCUGGGUGUAAGGGUGUAAUCUGUGAGGGCGUGGGGUGUGUGCUGGUGCUGUUGUUGGUGCUACUGCUACUGCUACUGGAGCUACUGCUGCUGCUGCUGCCUGAUCCCUCCGAGCGGCAGCGUCAUCGGCAGCCAGUCCAGCCAUUUCUGCACGGCACCUGCUGAGGACUUGCCAGACGCCCCUGGAAGCCCGUCCGUAGAAGGUGCGGGAGGGUGAAACUUCAUUGCAUGAGAAUGUAAGUGAGGCGAGGAAAGGUGAGUGCAGUCAGGAUCGUCCCCGGCCCCCAGCGGCGCACCAACCUCCUGCUGGCGGCGGGAAAUGAAGCCCAGAUUAAGACACGGCCGUCCCUCGCAGGGCGGCCCACUCCCUCACACGCCUCCCGCUCUCUAUGCAAAUUCAGAUUUUCUCGGGACGGAGUACUUCCAAGAGAAGAGAGCACAAGUACGCCUCAAGAACUCGCGUGGCACUUCACAUUCGUAUUCGAAGAAAAGAAACAAUAAGUGGCCUGAACAGUGAGGAGACCCUGUGACUCAGGCGUGUGUCAACUUCCCAGCACAGUAUCCGAGGUUUCUUCAUCGCUCAAAUGGCAAGUGUAUCGACAACGCUGGGCUAUCACUGCAGUAGCUUCUCCACCUGCCAGGAUAUGUCCUCACUAGUGGCAGUUCAGUUUGUCAUCCUCCCGUGUCCAUAAUCUUCUGGCAGUUUCCUGUCGGCUCGUUGUCAGGGUGAAAGCUCCUGUUCACCUUCAGCCAGAAAUAGCAUCACCUGCGAACAGUCAGGUGUGCCUCGCACAUCCAAGCUCAAGAAUGUUCCAAGUAUUUCUCCUUUGACGGUUUAAAUCACCCAGUUGAUGACACAGAUCACCUCCAAGUUAUACAAAUGCCUGGUGGAUGAGAUCAGAUUUCAUCAUUCCUCAGCCCUUCAUCAAGUCUGCUUUCACAUUGUCGUCUUAACUCGCACUAAGUAAGUAUUCUUGUUCAUCAAUACUUAUUAUAUUUCUACACUGCAUUCCAUUUAUAUAUUAUAGUUUUAAUUGUUACAUUACUUGCAGCGCCUUAAAUUAUCAGAGAUGACUGAAAGCAAAGAUUUAGAUAAAGGAAUUAUGUAUUUAUAAGACAAAAGAAUACAGGAAUGUAAGUAAAAAACUUCCAGAGAUCAUGGCAUGGAGGCAAGGAAAUUAUAUAUGAAAUUAUAGUGCAUUAAGUGAUUGAGUGCAAUAGGAAAUCAAGACCGCAUCUUAAGUGUGAGA